UAUAGUUAUAUUAUCAUUGCAUUUCAUAUUUCUUUUAUCGAAAAAGACUAAUGACAUUACGAUGAGUGAUGCCUUGACUUGAGCAUGAAAUGGAUUUUGGUGAAGAAGAGUUGCACAAAAUAACUAGUCUUGUUCACUUUUCCAGAUUCUAGAGGGAUGACAAAGAUCAAGCCAAUUGGAGAAAGCCCAGGAUGCAGUGGAUCACUUUGGUGUCUUCAAUGUCUGACCAAGCUCUAAGCACUCUACAAUGCCUGCUUUAGAUGCCAUCAUGGCUGUUGAAACAAAUUGUUCUCAUCUUCCCUUUCCACUGGGAGAAGUCUUCACAUGCUUGGGAUAGACAUCCUCCUAGAUUACUAACAGGUUUAGGUCUGUUGCCUCUCCUCAACCAAGGACUUCUCCCUAUGCCAGACAUUCUAUCCACUGUCAUCACCAGUAAAAAGGAGUGGUCAUUGGAUCUCAUGAGUCUUAUCAGGCUUAUAUUUGGAAUCUCCGCCAUAUUUGGAAUUUUUGCUCAAGGAAGAGAACCUGCCUUCUGAUUGGACAUAUUCCAGUUCUUAAAGUAGUCACUAAUUUCUACCAUAAUUUUCUUCAUCCUUUAAUAAACUUGUUGCCUUGAAUGAGAGACACUCGAAUAGUCUGACAUUUCCUGGUCUUCAACAUGCCUGGAGAGAAGGAAACUUACUGCUUUUAUGGAAGGUUUAUAUCCUCCCAGCCUCUGUCCAGAAUACAAGAAAACAGGGCCAUAUCAAGGCAGAAAUGGCCAUGCUCCAUGAAUGGACCAUGAUACAGGAUUAAGAAAUGAAUGAAAGGGAAGCAAAUUCUGCUAGCAUUUUACAGAUGAGGAAACUGAGGUCUAGAAAGGGAAAGGACUUGACCAAGGCCCAACACUUAAUAUAAUGAAAUGAGCAGAAUGAGGAGGACGAAUUAUACAAUAACAACAGUAUUCUGAAAAACCAUGUUGGAAAACUGUAAAAACUAUGAUCAAUACAAUGAUUCUCUAAGUUUCCAGAGGCCUGAGGAUGAAACAUCCCAUCCAUGAUAAAAAGCUGAUGGAUUUCGGGUCUAGAAUGAGGCAUUUAUAUUUUUAUAUACAAGCCAUUGAGGGGAUUUGUUUUGCUUGACUAUGCAUAUUUGUUACAAGGAAUUUAUUUAUCUUUUUACUUCCUUUUUUCCAAUGGGGUAAGGUUAGGGAGAGACUAAAAAUAAAUUUCUAUUUAUUAAAAAUAUUUUUGAAAACAAGAGACUUUUUUUGUGGGAGGAGACAUUACAGAUUUUGAAUUUUGUGUUCACAUUCAGAUGAAGUUAGUAUACUGUUAAUUUUGUUUUAUUGUUUUAUUUUGUUAUGAGACUCAUGAAGUGGAGAAAAUUUAUAAAUGUUUUAAUAUUAAAAUAAAAUUUGUCAAUAUAACCCUUUUUUAAAAACAUGACAAAAUAUUUCCUUACCUAAACCAUAAUGUAUAUAUAUAUCAUGGUUUUCUAUCACAAGCUUAAUAAAAGAGCUUGAAAAAAAAGUCUUUUCUUCCAUAGAUCAAUGGUUCGUUUUGCCCUGUCUUUUUAAAACUGAUUUGUCAGAGAGACUUAUGAGGGCAUGAAAUUAACAGCAGGGCUUGGAACAUUUUUGAUGCUGAUAGCUAAUAUAUAGCUACAGUACUUUAUAUUCAUUAUUUCAUUUGAUGCUCAUACCAGCCAAGGCAAGUAGAAUUUCCCUUGCUUUACAGAUAAAGAAACUGAUGCUCAAGGUAGCCCAGAGACUAACAUAAGACCACACAGUUAAUAAGCGGCAAAUCUGGAAGUUAAAGCCAGAUGUUAUCAUUCCAAAUUCAGCUUUCCUUCCACUGUACCUCAAGUACCUUAGAAGAGUCACAUUUAGGUAAAUGUAGAUUUAGGAAGAUUUAAGCAGUUCUGUGGAACUUUCCCCAAAUAAAGCAAGCACUAAGCUUUCAACUCCUAAAAUUAGCUGGAAAAUGUGACCAUUUAAAAUGUCAUUUUGUACUUUAUCCACUGUGCUGCAUUUUUUCAAGGCCACAUCUGGCCAAACUUUUGAGAAUUCUACCAGAACAUUGAGUGCGAUAUAUCUUCUUAAAAAGUAAUCUCACCACCAUAAUUAAUAAAUGUCUUUAAAAAUGAUUUUUCACAUUGUGUUUAUAUUAGGAAUCAUUUUGUUAAGGAAAAUUUCACCCCAGUUUAUUUUUUCAGGAGCCAGGGCUGGAGGCAAUAGGAGGGACAAAAAUACACUCAAAACCAAGGUAAUAAAUUAAGUCUUCCUGGGAGCUCGACAUACUUCACCAUCAUUAUCUCAUCCAUCAUCACAGUUUGCCCCUGGCAUAAGUGCACAGUAAUCUGAUCCCCAUUUUACAGAUGGAGAAUGAAGGCAGCAAGAGGUUAAGUGAUUUGUGGGAGGCCACACAGUGAGUGGGUGAUGGAAUUGGAAAUGGAAUCCAGAUAGCCUACAUCUUAGAGCUGGGGUCUAGGUAGGGUAUUCCCUAGUGAUUGGCACCAUUCAAUUAUGCUGGGGCCUCUUUUGCAUCUUAGCAUAUCUUAAAAAAUCUUUGCAUCUCAACAUAUCUUAAAAAAUAAAUAUAUUAUUUUUUUUUCUAAAAUCCACUGUUAGACAGCUUGAGUUGAUCUGGCCAAUAAGAAUGUUUGUCCAAAGAUCCAUCUCCAUAACUCAAUUAUGUUUUUUUAAGGUAUUGAUUGUUUACUUCUUUGAUAUCAUUUCAGAACAGAUCACUUAAUGGUGUGUAUACCCCAGAGCAGCAAGGAGAACUGGGAGGAAAGAGAGAGUCUGUAAUGAAUAGAUAUAAUUCCAUUUACAUUAGUUUUCAAUUAGCUACUCUAUUUAAUAAGACCCCCUGUAAUGUAAAUCUUUAGCUUAGAAACAUCUUGUGUAGGAUUUUCUGGUGUACUUUUCCCUUUAUCACUUUAAUUUAAAAACUGAAUUAAAGAUGUGUGAAUUAAUUCAUCUUUGUUCUUUAAAAGAGACAGAACACAGUUUAAAUAGUUAUGUACUUUGAAUAAUCAGUUUGAAUAGUUUUGAAUAGUUAUUUCCCAACCAAAAAGAUAUGCCUAUUAAAUGAAUCAGAAGGCCUAGCCUAACCUUUGAACAUUCAUUUAGUGUCUCAGGACCUCAUUUUCUCAUCUAUAAAAUGGAAAUAAGAAUACCUUCCUUGUAUAGUCCACAGUAUUGUUAUGAAGAACAAAUAAAACAAUGGAUAUGAAAAUAUUUUGAAAAAAUAGUAAAAGCACUAAAUUUUCCUACUCCCUCUAAUCUUCUUACUUACCAUCAUCAUCUCCCCUCUCCUUCUCUCUUGCCUAUCUCUUUACUCCUUGUGUUCAUCUUCCUUGUCUUCCCUCCAUUUCUACUGGCCUACUCUCAUUUCUCCUUUUCUCUCCAAUAUCUUUCUCCCUCUCUUUUUUUCUUGCCCUUUCCUUGUCCCCUAACCCCUCUUUCUCCUCUUUCUUCUAAUUAUCAUUAUUAUUUGGAAUAUUGAGAAAUCAGUGAUUUUAUUGGUGGGGGCACUCCCUUCAAAAUGUGUAUGGUAACUUCUCCAUGACUCAAUAGACACGUGAAUGAGCAUGGCCAACAUCUACUGAUGAGGCUCUUUGUACUCAUGUAGACUUAUCUUUGGAUGAAAGAUAAGCUUAUAUACAAAAGCCUUUCAAUUGCCAGAUCCUGUGAUGGUCUCAUAAAAUAUUUGAGAAGUUGGGAACACUUUAAUGGUACAAUAAGGUAUCAGAGCAAGAUAGCCUCUUUUCACAUACAUAUAAUAGUUCAGCAAACUAGCCUUAUUGCUAUUCAUCAUGCAAAAUUCAUCUCCUAUUGCUAAGCCUUUGCACAAUCUGGUGCUCAUGCCAGUAACAUCUUCCCUUGUAAACUCUAAACCUUAGAAGCCCUAAUUAACCUUAAUUCUCAUUUCAAGUACCACUUCCAACAGGAAACAUUUCCUCUCAGCAAUUAGUGGCAACCCUAUAAACUUAUCUAUCUAUGAUCUCUCUCAUAUCCAUCUAUUAUCUUUCAUAUCUAUAUCACAUCUAUCAAUCAAAUAUCUAUCUAAUCUAUAUCCAUCUAUCAUAUCCCUCUAAUAGAUUAUUUUAUCUAUUAUCUAUAUC